rnacentral:rRNA from 1 species
UGAGUGGCGGACGGGUGAGUAACGCGUGGGUAACCUGCCUUAUACAGGGGGAUAACAGUUAGAAAUGACUGCUAAUACCGCAUAACCCGCUAGUACCGCAGUGGUACGGACGGAAAAAGAUUUAUCGGUAUAAGAUGGACCCGCGUCUGAUUAGCUAGUUGGUGAGGUAAUGGCCACCAAGGCGACGAUCAGUAGCCGGCUUGAGAGAGUGAACGGCCACAUUGGGACUGAGACACGGCCCAAACUCCUACGGGAGGCAGCAGUGGGGAAUAUUGCACAAUGGGGGGAACCCUGAUUGCAGCAACGCCGCGUGAAGGAAGAAGUAUUUCGGUAUGUAAACUUCUAUCAGCAGGAAAGAAAAUGACGGUACCUGACUAAGAAGCCCCGGCUAACUACGUGCCAGCCGCAGC